UACGUAGGGGGCGAGCGUUGUCCGAAGUUACUGGGCGUAAAGCGCGCGUAGGCGGUUGCUUAAGUUGGAUGUGAAAUCCUGGGGCCCAACCCCAGAACUGCAUCCAAAACUGGGCGACUUGAGGACGGGAGAGGGCAGUGGAAUUCCUGGUGUAGCGGUGAAAUGCGUAGAUAUCAGGAGGAACACCCGUGGCGAAGGCGGCUGCCUGGUCCGUAUCUGACGCUGAGGCGCGAAAGCCAGGGGAGCGAACGGGAUUAGAUACCCCGGUAGUCCGGGCCGUAAACGAUGGAUACGAGGUGUAAGUGGUAUCGACCCCACUUGUGCCGCAGCUAACGCAUUAAGUAUCCCGCCUGGGGAGUACGGCCGCAAGGUUGAA
rnacentral:rRNA from 1 species